AGAAUCAACGCUGGCGGCGUGCCUAACACAUGCAAGUCGAACGAGAAAGGGUAGCAAUACCUGAGUAAAGUGGCGCACGGGUGAGUAACACGUGACUAACCUACCUUUUAGUGGGGGAUAACCUAGGGAAACCUGGGCUAAUACCGCAUAAUACCUACGGGUCAAAGCAGCAAUGCGCUGAAUGAGGGGGUCGCGGUCGAUUAGUUAGUUGGCAGGGUAAUGGCCUACCAAGACUGUGAUCGAUAUCCGGCCUGAGAGGGCGCACGGACACACUGGAACUGAAACACGGUCCAGACUCCUACGGGAGGCAGCAGUGGGGAAUUUUGCGCAAUGGGGGAAACCCUGACGCAGCAACGCCGCGUGGAGGAUGAAGUCCCUUGGGACGUAAACUCCUUUCGAUCGGGACGAUAAUGACGGUACCGGAAGAAGAAGCCCCGGCUAACUUCGUGCCAGCAGCCGC
rnacentral:rRNA from 1 species